UACGAAGGUCCCAAGCGUUAUCCGGAUUUAUUGGGUUUAAAGGGUGCGUAGGCGGGUUAUUAAGUCAGUGGUGAAAGCCCCAAGCUUAACUUGGGAACUGCCAUUGAUACUGAUGGUCUUGAGUACAUUUGAGGUGGGCGGAAUGUGUCAUGUAGCGGUGAAAUGCUUAGAUAUGACACAGAACACCGAUUGCGAAGGCAGCUCACUAAACUGUAACUGACGCUGAGGCACGAAAGCGUGGGGAGCAAACAGG
rnacentral:rRNA from 1 species